UGGGGAAUAUUGGACAAUGGGCGCAAGCCUGAUCCAGCCAUGCCGCGUGUGUGAAGAAGGCCUUCGGGUUGUAAAGCACUUUUGUACGGGAAGAAAAGCUUUCGGUUAAUACCCGGAAGUCCUGACGGUACCGUAAGAAUAAGCACCGGCUAACUUCGUGCCAGCAGCCGCGGUAAUACGAAGGGUGCAAGCGUUACUCGGAAUUACUGGGCGUAAAGCGUGCGUAGGUGGUUUGUUAAGUCUGAUGUGAAAGCCCUGGGCUCAACCUGGGAAUGGCAUUGGAUACUGGCAGUCUAGAGUGCGGUAGAGGGUAGCGGAAUUCCCGGUGUAGCAGUGAAAUGCGUAGAUAUCGGGAGGAACAUCCGUGGCGAAGGCGGCUACCUGGACCAGCACUGACACUGAGGCACGAAAGCGUGGGGAGCAAACAGGAUUAGAUACCCUGGUAGUCCACGCCCUAAACGAUGCGAACUGGAUGUUGGGGACAC
rnacentral:rRNA from 1 species